rnacentral:lncRNA from 1 species
GAUAGAUUUUUCAUAUUUAAGCUUGAAUCGGGGCGUUUUAAAUGACUUAUUAAGGUAAAACCGUCCACAUUAACUAAUUGAAUCAAUUGAAAUUGACACUUAAGUGUUUAGAAAGUGUAUAAAAUCUUUCGUUAGAUGAACUUGAAAAUUGAGACCGAAAUUGGCCCUUACCGGACCUACUCCUUUAUAUUUAAAAUGGUAUAUAAUAGGAAUCCAAUAAACGUCAUGUUGUAAGUCAGUAAUUCUUUACAUAUUCCUGAAGUUGUUCAUAGUAUAAACGGAGGUCAAUUCUUUUUUCAUAAUUCAGCACUCCAUCAACAUAUAUAUAAUAUUGAUGAAAACGGGCC